AUUAAACUGGAUUUGGUUUAAAGCCGAACCGAUUUAAUAAGUUAUGAAACAAACAGUAAAUUCGCAAAUAUUGGGUAGACCCGACCCGAAACAAUAUCUGUCACCUUUACCCGACGUGAAUACGCGCAUGUUGUGAUCACAGCCAAAACAUGACCAUUGGCAGCUCAUAAGCAACAAUGUAUGAGCCUCUCGGUCACCGGCGGCCAAAGGUAAAUGAUCGCCGGUGGUCGGUGAACUCAUCAGAUAUUAAUGAAGAGCCAGUGGUCGCCUGUAUUAAAAAAAAUACAUCCCCUGUAAGCCUGUUUUUUUAAUGAAACAUCCCCUGGCUGAAACUCGACCAUUGGCGGCUUCAUCUACAUGGAAGGUAUGACGAUCCUGGCCACCGGCAGCCACACAUAAAUGAUCGCCAGUGGUAGGCGAAGAGUGCAGCAGAUCCCUAAUAAAUUUUUAUAAUACCAUUAAUGCCCUUCGAAUAAAAGAGUAUAAGGUUUUGCCCAUCGACACAAUCUUCUCUGCAACCAGCGGUGGUUUCUCUCCUUUAGCCAACAUUGAGCGGCGAUCUAUUACCAGCGGUCGAAAUCGCAACAGUUAAAAUCGAUUUCUCGCCUCCUUCAUCUUCUCACUGAACCAGCGGCGGGAGUCGUUCCAGCAGCGAAGAUUUAUUACCAGCGGUCGAAAUCACAGUAGGUUGGUGUUUCAGAUCGACUGCUAUUUUCGUUUUUUGACUCUCAGAUGUUUUGUUUGAGAAUCAGUAAAUAGUUAAAAUCUGAUUUCCAUCCCUAGAAAAUAGUCAAAGGGACUAAUAGCAUGUCUUACUCUGAUUUCCAUCCAUUCRAUCAAGCACGCGAUUGAACAUGUGAAGUGGUUGGGAAAUCAAUACAGGACGUAUUAGACAUCGAAGAAUGUUCCUAAAACGCCUCGAGUUUGGUUGGGCACUCGC